UCUGCUGGAGAAAUUAAAAUUCACAUUUCAAUUUCGAUUUAAUUUGAAUAAACCCAACCUUAGAACUAAGGAGGAAUUUCCUGACGUGUUUUGUGGUUCAUUUGCUCUCUUGGAGAAGAAAAAGUGAUCCCUGAAAGAGAAUGACUAGAAAGCAGAAUUGAGCGGAAGGAUUACAAUGGUAAUAAUGACACAGGUGGAUUCUUGCCUCUGAAGUCGAAGCGGAGAACAGUGAGCUGUUUAAAAGCAACUGCACGGACCUAGAUUCGCUGAACAAAAAGCCCAUUUUCAUGCACUAAUAACUUGUGGGACAGAUAAAAGAUGGCAUCAGAAAUAGAAUUUUGGGGGGUUUUUUGCUUGCACCCAGCAAAAGGUUAACUCCUCCUGUCGCUGGCUGCGGUCUCUGGAGAUAACUCUUGUUUUACUUAUCGAAGACCUUAAUCGCUAAUUCAUUAAAUACCUUUAAACAGAAGGAUAUUAAAGAGAUGGCGGAUAUUUUUCAGCCACCAAACAGAGCCGAAUUCAGCCAAUUUUAUACCCCUUUGGAAACACCUGGAGAAGAAACUGCUGAUCAGCUGGGCGAACUACAUACAUGUUCCCGUCCUCCUUCUCCUUCUCAAUUUCUUUCUCCACGUCCUUCUGCUGGCCGGUGAGCAUGUCCAGUCGGUCGUGGCAAGUCGCCAACUCUUCUCUGAAAAUACAGGACAGCAGGAUUCAGCCAGAGAGGCUGGCGCAGCAGUCCGUUUCUUCUUGGACAUCUGUGGCAUCACUCACCUACCCAUGCUGAUAAUAUGCCGUGCAUGGAUUAAAAGGAAAAACUAGACCAAGGAUUCGCCAAGGGACAGGUGCUACACAAAAGGAAAAGAGAGGAGGAGGGAAGAGGAAAAAGGAGUUCUAAUCUCCCUUGUAGUGUGAACGUUUCUCAGGCCAUCCUUUAGAUCUGCUGGCUCCCAAGUAAAGGAGCAUGAGGACUAGUGUCAGGUUUCAGUGUUGUCUCAAAAUAAAUUGCAUUUCCAAACA